GGGCUAGCAGGCCUUUCACUGAACUGUUGGUGGAGGAAGGGCACCCGCCAAUGUACGCAGGACAUCACCAUCAGCUUUGCGGGUCCCUAAGUCCCAGUCAUCACCCCAGGGAUUUCUGACUGGCCUUGUCUCUCCUCGGGCUCCAGGCUGACGAAAGGGCCUCUCCUCCAUCGCUGGUGGGAGUACACACUGGUUACAGCCUCUGCUGGGGGACGGGGACUGCAGCGACAUGUAUCAGAACCACAAACGCAUGAGACCUUUGAUCCAACGACUGCUCUUCUGGGCCUUUGUCCGGCAGAGACACACCUACGUGGAAAUGACACAGGAGCAAGUUGUCCAACGCUGUUACUGUACAAACGGAAAAACUGAGGCUCAGCUUAGGAAACUCGUGUACCCAGUGUCACCCAGUACAUCAGCCUCUGAGCAAUUCUGAAUCUAGCCCCUGAGCUUUUGCUCAUGCUGUUUCCUUUGUUCAAAUGCCCUUCCCUGCCAUUUUCACUCUUCCAGUCUGAGUGCACUGCUUCCAAGAAGCUUCCCAGACCUCCCGGUGGAAAUGACCUCUCAGCAUGCCUAGCACAUCCCUGCAGCACUGUGCAAAUUCCUGCCUUCUCCAAUAGCUGCUGGGAGCUCUCUGAGGAGAGACUUGGCCUUCUUCUCUGGAGCCCGAGGCCUAGCUUGGUGUGAAGCCAAGAACAGGAGUUUAAUGUUCAA